CAUAUAAGUAGUAAGCCCCCCCCAAGAUGAGUGCUCUCUCCUCCGACUUCCCUAGAGCCUCCGGUAUCACAGCCGAGACAGCGACGGGUUCUCCACCCAUACGGGGAUGGAGCGACAGAAGUAUGGAAAUAGGAUAAGGUAGCGGCGAGACGAGCCGUUUAAAUGGGUGUCAAGUGGAAGUGCAGUGAUGUAUGCAGCUGAGGCAUCCUAACGAACGAACGAUUUGAACCU
rfam:Hordeum vulgare subsp. vulgare, WGS project CAJW01000000 data, contig: morex_contig_1163983